rnacentral:rRNA from 1 species
AGGGCCGCGGUAAUUUGACCGUGCGAAGGUAGCAUAAUCAUUAGUCUUUUAAUUGAAGGCUUGUAUGAAUGGUUGGAUGAGAGACAUUCUGUCUUUUUUAAUUUUAUGAAUUUAACUUUUAAGUGAAAAGGCUUAGAUUAUCUAGUGGGACGAUAAGACCCUAUAAAACUUUAUAUAAUGUGUGUAUCAUAUACGUUUUUAGUUUAAAGUUAUUUUAUAUAAUUUAUAUUUCGUUGGGGAGAUGUUUAUAUAAUUUGUAACUGUUUUUUUAAUUAAAUAAUUAUAAUUAGUUUUUGAUCCUUUAUUAGAGAUUAAAAGAUUAAGUUACUUUAGGGAUAACAGCGUAAUUUUCUCUGAGAGUUCUUAUCGACGAGAGUAGUUGCGACCUCGAUGUUGAAUUAAAAUUUUAGAUUGGUGUAGUCGCUUUUCUAAUAGGUCUGUUCGACCUUUAAAAUUUU